rnacentral:lncRNA from 1 species
UAAAUAAACAAACAAACAAAUAAGAAGAAACUCAUCACCAAAGGCCCCAUGGAAUAUCUGCAAUACCCUGAAGACCAUGAUGUUCAGCAGCAACAAGGAAGUGCCACAAGAAAGCAUAACCAUUGAUCAUUGACAAAAUGACUUGGCUCUAUCUGGAUUUAUCUUAACCAAGGAAUUUAGAAGAACAGAAAAAGUAGUGGAGUCAAAUAAAUUCCAGAACACGAAUAGUAGACAUUGUAGAAUCAGAAAUAGUAGAGAUUAAUACCUUUCCUCUCCAUCAUGAGGGGCAUGGCCAACAUUCAUAACAAAAUGAGAGCAGCAGGAGGUAGACAAAUGCCUAAGUAGACAGAGGAAGGUCCCGAGUGAAACCCCACCUUCAAUCCAAAAUCAGCCCGAGACCUGCAACCUAGAGUGAGAUCUUCUAUUCCUGUUUGCCUGCUCUUUCCCAAUUGGUUCUUUCUGAAUAAUGCUUUUAAACUAACCAAAAGUUACCUAUUCCAAUGCUACCUUCGUCCCACCCCUCCCCAUCCUGUGCUUGUAAAAACCCUAGACUCAUCCACACCGGGGGAGAAACCACCUGACUUCGGGUGGGGAAGCUCUCCUGUGACCCCUCUCCACUGAGAGCUGUUUUGUCACUCAAUAAAAUUCUUCUCCACCCUCCUCACCCUUCAAUUGUCAGCAUAUCCUCAUUUUUCUAGGACACAGGACAAGAACUCAGGAAUCACCAGACCCAUAAUAUGAGCUAUAACACAGAUGGGCUGGGGCACACCUGGCCCAGCUGCGGGCUGAGCCAGUGUGCAAGCCAGGCACAGCCUGGGUGGGCUGAGUGGGUGGGCCACCUCCUGCAGCAAGUAGCAUGGCCAAGCAAGGCCCAGGCGGGGGCGUCGCCGGCCGGCGGUUCCCAGCUGGUGAAGUGACUGAGAAAAAUCCUGCAUCAAAAAGACAGGUUAACAAGAAAAAAGCACACCAGUUUAUUCAAAAUUUUAUGUGACACUAAAGCCUUCAGAAAUGAAGACUCAAAGACUCAGGGAAAAGUGUCUAUUUUUAUGCUUGGGUUUGGUGAGGCAUGAACAGCUGUGUAGCAAUGUGAUUGGACAAAAGGGGAAGACCUAAAGAUAAUAGACCGAGUAGGGAAACUCAGCAAAGCUGUACGGAUUCCUCUUGGGCUGUCUGUGGUAUCAUUUCUUCCUUCUUGAUAUGGGGCAGGACCCAUCUGGAUUGAGGGUCUUAUGACCUACUAUUAAAGAGAGGUAGGUCAGAGAAUUUCUUUAUAGUCAGCUCCUAGA